CGCCGGGGGUCUCCCCUGUGCCGGCUGAAAGGAGGAAGCGGGACCCUGGGCGUUAGGGAGCGUUGGAGGAGGUGUUACGUCCGGUGUGUGGAGGGCAGCCUUCCUCCAGCUGGUCGCUGCUGGAGCAGGCUGGGCGGGACAUGAGUCCCGUCCUGGAGCCCACAGACUGCUGGUCCGACAGGAGACGGCCCGGUGAAGGCCGCCUCCUCGUUGUGAUAUCAACAAAGAGGGACAGAGUCUUCAGCUGAAUACGGUGUGGGGGCAGGAGAGAGGGGAGAGGAGAACGAGAGGAGGAGCUCAGCAGAGAGAGGUGUGGUUCUGGACUAGAGGAGGUGCUGGAGAGAGAGAGGGGUGUGGUUCUGGCCCAGAGGAGGUGCUGGAGAGAGAGAGGUGUGGUUCUGGCCCAGAGGAGGUGCUGGAGAGAGAGAGGUGUGGUUCUGGCCCAGAGGAGGUGCUGGAGAGAGAGAGAGAGAGAGAGGUGUGGUUCUGGCCCAGAGGUGCUGGAGGAGGUCUGUGUUCAGGGUCCGGGGCGACGGCUGAGGUGUGGCGGUAUUCUCCUAUCUCUAUCUUCUAUCUCCUUGCUGUCUGUCAAACUCUCCUGUCUGCACCUUCUCUGCUUCACACACUGGCUCUCUCUGAUACUCCUCCAUCAGCCCCUCCACCAUCCCCUCCUCCACCCCUCCUCCACCCUUCAGCCCCACAUCUCUCCAUCUCCUUCCAUCAUUAAUCUAUUACUCCUAUCAAUCCCUCUCGUCCACAAAUCGAGCUGAUGGAUUUGUGAUUGAUUUUAUGCAAACAAUUUCAGAUGUUAUUGUUCACCAUUAGCCUCCACCAGAAAUACACACACACACACUCACACACUCUCACACACACACACACACACCCACACAACCUCAGGAGUGAUAUUUAUAGAACAUUCAAUACCCCUGUUAUUUACACAAGGUAUUCCGCCUCAUUCUAUACAACACUCUCUGUGGGUUUAGGUGUGUGUGUGUGUGUGUGUGUGUGUGUGUGUGUGUGUGUGUGUGUGUGUGUGU
ensembl:lncRNA